UUGGAGUUAACAAUGUUUCAAAAUUUUAAAAAAAAUUCAAAAAAAAAAUUGAUAAACAAAAUGAAAGUCAUUUGUAGAGUUUUAUAUUUUUUUUUAUUUACAUACAAUUCAUUUGUAGAGUUAGUCAUUAGUUAUAGAAAUUUAAUGGGCAAAUGGUAUAUCUAAUAAGUAAAAAAAUUUUCAUUUUUUUCUAUAAAUUACUCUCUUGAUUGGUUUAUUCAUUUAUUUUUUGGAAAUCUUUUUGCAGCUGAUGAUCAUUAGCAAAAAUGGGAAGUAUUCAGGGGUGAAAGUAUAACUAAAAGGUUUGUGAUUUUAAGAUCGAAGAUAGCUACCUUGAGAGGUCAUGCACCAUUUUCCUUGGAGAAAAUUAUAAUUGCCCAAAUGAGCAACAGGAACUCGAUCAGAGACAAAUGUGGCUGUGGGGACCAGACAUUUAUUGUUGCUUCUCCGAUCAUCUCCUGUGGCAUGUCGUGGCUUUCUCCUUUGUUUUUUGGCAAACAGCAAAACACCCUGCUAUCACUGACACUGCCCACCAUUUCCUCUGAUUCACAAUCCUUGGAAUCCUAACUUUUUUAUUUUUAGUUGAUUUUUUUUAUUUUUUAAGGUUUCUCAUGAUUCGAAAGUUUUGGUUUUUCUCAUCUUGUUGUGUUGAACCCACUAAAAUUUAUUUGUUACUUGUUAGCAUAAUGGUUCGUGUGAAAAUUUUCAAUUGUAUUAGGAUCAUUGACAAUGCGGGCAGUGAGCUUUUUGUUUUUGGAUAUGAAUUAUGUUUUUUUUUCUAUUGAACCUUUGUUGGGAUGUUUGAUGUGAAAUGUGAUUCAUGAUUUUUUUCUCUGGGUGUAAUCUAACUGAUGAUUUUUACAAGAAUUGGUCGCAGAUGAAAAUUCCCCAUUGAUCAAGAAGUUUGAAGGUGUUUAUGUUAAUUCAUUAUGGGAAGCACUUGAAGGGAGGCAAAAGAUGGUGCCCACUUCCUUAAUAUAUCUGAUGAUUUUGAGUAAUAGAACAACUACUGAAGCAGAAAACAUUCACUAGAUUUAGUUUUUGCUAAGCAGUAGGUUUCUUUUCUAUUUUGGUUGGAUACAUAAAAUGCUAAGAGCUUGUGCUAUUUGCUUGUUGCACACCAUUUGUCUUUGAUUCUGCCCUUUUAAGUUUCUCCUCUUUCAUAUAAUCAUAUAGUUCUUAAUCACAAUAGAAACUAUUUUCAUUAUAAUCCUUGUUCUAUUAACGUUUGGUUGUUUCAGGCUACAUUUUUUUUUUAGCAUUCUUAUAAGUCUGACAAAGUUUUCUAUUAAAUAAGGCUGAGUUUAACUUUCCUAGAGAUUUAAUUGAAUCAAAACCCAUUGAAUCAGCCCAAGGAAAAACCAGCAAGGACUAGUAAAGAGGCUUCAUAUGCAGAUAGAGAAAAGAAAUGAUAGCACCAGUUUUCAUGGGAAUAUCUAAGCUCCCAAUCAAAGUUUGCAUAUAAGAAUCUGUGCAUGUGUAUACUAAGGUGUGUUUUAAUUUAAUUCUGUAAUUUGUUAAUUCAGGGAGAUACUGUACUAUAGGAUCAUGUCUCUGUAAAUUCAAUAGAAAGUUUUUACUUGGACAAGUAGAGAGUUUUACAUACUCUAAUGUUGCUUAAUCCUCUGUUAUCAUGAAAAUUCUUACACGUACUGUUUAUCGUCAUGGCCUUAGGCACUCAGCAAGCUUCACCAUGACAACAUGAUCCAGAACCACAAAAGUGCUGAAGCUUAACACAUCAGGUUCUAGUCUAAAAAGGGAGUACCAGAACAAAAACUACGAGCAAACCUAGGUUCUUUUGGUGUCUCAGGCUAUCUUGCACUUCAACCAAUGUAUACUUUGUCAGGACUUGAACGCAGUUGAGACACUUAUCCAAGGCCUAGUCAUUUUUCAAGGAGGGGUUCUGAUGCUGAGCCAUGAUGAACACUUGAUAUUGCCAUGUUUAUGUUUCAAGAUGGACAACAAGACUAUACAAACUUGUCAUUCUACUUCAAUGUAAAAUGAAUUGGAUUUUGUUCCAUUAGAUGUUUUGACUAUUAUAUUUUAUAUUGGGUUGUUAUUUUGAAAACUUAUAGAUCGGAAUGUUUAUUUUGCAAUGUAUUAUAAAAGUUGUUGAUGAUUGUAAG